rnacentral:misc_RNA from 1 species
GGAGGAGUAAAGAAGAAGAAGAAGCCCAAACAUUAUGACCAAGGGUCUAAAAAUGGGGGAGAUGAGAUUCCGGCAGGUGGAAGUUCUGCAUUGGCAACCGAUCCAGUCGGGGACAUGAUUGAAGCUGACAGCCUGGGCGAAGGACACCCGCCUGCUCAUCACGAUCUCCUCACGCCCGCUGAGAAGAGAUAUAUCGAGCAGAGGGAUAAAAUCAACGUGCACCGUCUGGCCAAAAUUGCCAACAAAUCGCACCGUGAUCGGAUCCAGGAUUUCAACCAGUAUCUUGCCAAUCUCAGCGAGCAUUACGACAUUCCGAAAGUGGGUCCUGGCUAAUAGUUCAGACUGUCUAAGAUCAAAAUCAUAUAUGUUUCCU